rnacentral:lncRNA from 1 species
CCUUACUUAGUUCAAUUUUUCAUAAUUUUCUUGAUUAAUUUGCUAUUUAUUUGAUAUUUUUUAAUUUAACUUGAAUUUUCAGUUGACUUCUUUAUGAUCGAUGUUUGACUGAGGGAUCGCUUAUGGGAAUUGAAGAGAUCUUUUGAUCCUCCCUUGUUCAUCUCAUAUGCCAUGUAUUAGAGACCUUUUAUCAUGAUUUUUUUUGGUCCUUACCUCAUUUCCUGAUUAAAUUAUUCAGUGGACCCUUUUGUGCUUUUCUUUUCAUCUGUCUGGUUCAUCUGUUAUCUUUUA